UACGAAGGGGGGCUAGCGUUGCUCGGAAUCACUGGGCGUAAAGCGCACGUAGGCGGGUUCUUAAGUCAGGGGUGAAAUCCUGGAGCUCAACUCCAGAACUGCCUUUGAUACAGCACGUCUUGAGUCCGGAAGAGGUGGGUGGAAUUCCUAGUGUAGAGAUGAAAUUCGUAGAUAUUAGGAAGAACACCGGUGGCGAAGGCGGCCCACUGGUCCGGUACUGACGCUGAGGUGCGAAAGCGUGGGGAGCAAACAGG
rnacentral:rRNA from 1 species